rnacentral:siRNA from 1 species
CGCAGUCGAAGAUUAUGAUG